UACGAAGGGGGCUAGCGUUGCUCGGAUUGACUGGGCGUAAAGGGCGCGUAGGCGGUUCGUACAGUCAGACGUGAAAUUCCUGGGCUCAACCUGGGGGCUGCGUUUGAUACGUGCGGACUUGAGUGCGGAAGAGGGUCGUGGAAUUCCCAGUGUAGAGGUGAAAUUCGUAGAUAUCGGGAGGAACACCAGUGGCGAAGGCGGCGACCUGGGCCAAUAUUGACGCUGAGGUGCGAAAGCGUGGGGAGCAAACAGG
rnacentral:rRNA from 1 species